rnacentral:lncRNA from 1 species
CGUGAGCUCGUGACAUCUUGAAGACCAUCCUCUGAGCUAGAUAUAUGUAGAAACUUCUGGCUUAGGGACGACGCCCGUAACAUCUUGAAAUACACACUUAAUAUAGGGACUGUGCCUAUCACACAUUGAUCUUAGAGACCAAGCCCGUCCGCAUCUUCAUUUUAGGGCCCAUGCUCAUCAAAAAUUAAUUCAGGGAUAAAGCCUACCUAU